rnacentral:tmRNA from 1 species
GGGGACGAAAGGUCUCGACAGAGUAUGUGAUGGCAGAGAACGCACGCCGAGGCGCCGCUGGCCUCGUUAAAAGCGGCAAAGCCAUAACUGGCAACGUUACUAUGCAAACGGCCAAGGGCAUGAUCGACAGCGCUUUCGCGCCCGCUCCUGCUAUGGCCGUUGCCUGAUCCCAGUAUCAGGUCGGCGUCCGCUCCCGGAUGCUGUUAAAUAGCCCUUUGAGGUAGGGAGCGAAGCUGGUGGAACCAGCAACCCGGCCCGGGCAGGGCUUGCGAAGCGCCGGUUGUCCGUGAGGCGCAUCGGACUUAAGCGGACUGGCGAGACCGCCUCCUGUUCACGGGAAAGCGGUUCGUGAGAAAAAGAGAACAUGAACUAAGCGUGUAGUGGGCUCUGUUGAACUGCCCUGGACCCGUGUUCGAUUCCCGGCGUCUCCACCA